GGGGAUCGAACUCGGGACCUUGCACUUGCAAGGCAGGUGGCAGAACCACUGAGCUAAAUCCCGGCCCUUCCUUUCCCUUUCUACUGCUGUGCAACAAGAAACCAGGAUGAACUGGACAUCUCACCAGCUCAGAUGAAAAGCCAUUGUUAAGCUAUCCACAACCAACAACCAAACAAACCAGACACUCUGAUAGCCAAAAGCCUGAGGGGAAGACGGAAUCAAAAAAGGAGAAGAAAAAUAGUGAAACCUAUGAAAAGGAAGGCCUCAUCAUGAGCCCAUGUCUCAAAGAAGCCUUACAAACUCCUUUGGGGCUAAACAAAGAGCUGCCCAAGGCCAG
rnacentral:lncRNA from 1 species